AGGUGAUGCUAGGUAGUCUGUGAGUUGAUAGUAGAUACUGGGACUUUUUUUUGUUUUUGAGAGAAAAGGGGAGUUAUCCCAAUGCGAGUUUGCAUCCGGAGUUCCAAGGGAAGAAGAAGGAUUGGGGGUUUCUGGGAGGAUGGUAGAGCCGCUGGAGAUGGAAAGCGGAUGUUUUAUUCAGAAGUCGGGGCUGGAGGGAAGGAGACCAGACCUGCCUUGGCUACUACUUGAUAAAGAUUUACCUAUCUCUGUCUCCCUCUCCAACCAUUUUGUGCUGAAUCUUCAGCUUUUCACCCACAUUUCUUUAUUGGGCUCCCCACCUCUGGAAAUCACAGAACUAACCCAUGUCUUCUGCUUUCUUUCAGGAGAGUGAAGAUGGCAUUGAAGGUGAUGCUGUUCUCUCGGAUUAUGAAAGUGCAGAAGACUCGGAAGGUGAAGAAGGUGAAUACAGUGAAGAGGAAAACUCCAAAGUGGAGCUGAAAUCAGAAGCUAAUGAUGCUGUUAAUUCUUCAACAAAAGAAGAGAAGGGAGAAGAAAAGCCUG
rnacentral:lncRNA from 1 species